rnacentral:rRNA from 1 species
UACGAAGGGGGCUAGCGUUGUUCGGAAUUACUGGGCGUAAAGCGAACGUAGGCGGUGUUCCAUGUCAGAGGUGAAAGCCUGGGGCUCAACUCCAGAACUGCCUUUGAAACGGGAACGCUUGAGUCCGAGAGAGGAUGGCGGAAUUCCUAGUGUAGAGGUGAAAUUCGUAGAUAUUAGGAAGAACACCAGUGGCGAAGGCGGCCAUCUGGCUCGGUACUGACGCUCAGGUUCGAAAGCGUGGGGAGCAAACAGG